rnacentral:misc_RNA from 1 species
CAAAAGGUUGGUACUUUACUGUUUUGCAAGUGGAUGACAGAGGAGAUGAAGGUUACAAGUCUUUAUAGUAGUGGGGGUAGGAAAAAAAGUGAUCUUUAUGAAAUAAUGGUGUAUUUAGUUGAUAUUCGUAAUGGUUAAUAAUGUAUGUUUAGUUGAUGUUGGUAAUUGUGAAAAUUGCUAUGUUUAGUUCUUAGGAGCUCUGAAAUCGAAAGAUAUAUGUUUUCUAGUGCUUGAGGCUGAGGGAUAAACGCCGUUUCGUUUUGGUAAUUGGUUGUUUGCAUAUCAAGAAUCUUGAUUUUAGAACCUCCCCUUUUUAAUCUUACCAAGAAAAAUGGAAAUGUUG